rnacentral:misc_RNA from 1 species
GUGAAUCAUCGAAUUUUUGAACGCAAAUUGCACUCUCUUCGGAGAGUAUGCCUGUUUGAGGGUCAGCCUAAAAAAAAAAUCGACAUAGUCGCUGUUUCGCGGUGACAUUCGUCGGAAUUUGGGUCAUCUUAAACCUUUGGUUUUUAAGCGGUUUAAAUUUUUCUUUACGAUUCCACGAACGUUUCUAAGAUUUACUUUUUUUACUUUUAAGUUAUCGAUCUUUAUUAGCCGUGGCCGUGCC